UCUACACCAUCAGCGAUUGUUGUCACUUCAUCGGAAAUCUUCACCUCCGAAUCCAAGUCGAGGUCCAUCAGCGAUCACAGCGAUCCCAACUUUUCCUGGGUCUAUUGUACACGCUACCGACCUCCGAAGCUUCCACGUGCUAAAAGAGAAAUGAACUUAAGGAACCGUUACCGUAAUCCGCGCAUACCCUUCUCUACAACAGAGGUGGGGGCAUUGGAGAGAAAGUUUCUGCAGUCUCCUUAUCUUGGUAGCAACGACGUCAACGAGUUGGCCGCGGCACUCAACAUGUCCCCCAAAAGAGUAAAGAUUUGGUUUCAGAACAGAAGGGCUCGCGAGCGUCGUGAAAGGGAAGUUCAAUAAAAACACACGUACGUCUUUAAGUUUCGUGUAUUGGAGUGAAGGUGGCUACGUUUCGAAUCCACGGUCGGCGAUUAACAUGCAAACAACACCAGCAACGCAAUUUCUCACUUAGCAUUUGUGACCCAUUUGAGUUUGUUUGCGGACGGGAUGU